CGAAAUUGGUAGACGCUACGGACUUUCGUGAGGGUUCAAGUCCCUCUAUCCCCAAAAAGGGGCCCACUGGACUCC
rnacentral:tRNA from 1 species